rnacentral:rRNA from 1 species
AACGAACGCUGGCGGCAUGCCUAACACAUGCAAGUCGAACGAGACCUUCGGGUCUAGUGGCGCACGGGUGCGUAACGCGUGGGAACCUGCACGUAGGUUCGGAAUAACUCCCCGAAAGGGGUGCUAAUACCGGAUAAUGUCUUCGGACCAAAGAUUUAUCGCCUUUGGCUGGGCCCGCGUUGGAUUAGCUAGUUGGUAGGGUAAAAGCCUACCAAGGCGACGAUCCAUAGCUGGUCUGAGAGGAUGCUCAGCAACGCUGGGACUGCGACACGGCCCAGACUCCUACGCAAGGCAGGAGUGUGGAACAUUGGACACUGGACGAAGGCGUGACCCAGCCGUGCCGGGGAAGUGAGGCAGCGGUUAGUGUUCUAAUGCCCCCUGACCCGGGAUGUUAAUGACGGUACUGGGUAAAUAAGCACCGGCUAACUCCGUG